UACAGAGGUCUCAAGCGUUGUUCGGAUUCAUUGGGCGUAAAGGGUGCGUAGGUGGCGAGGUUAGUCAGGUGUGAAAUCUCGGGGCUCAACCCCGAAACUGCACUUGAUACUGCCUUGCUAGAGUACUGGAGAGGAGAUUGGAAUUUACGGUGUAGCAGUGAAAUGCGUAGAUAUCGUAAGGAAGACCAGUGGCGAAGGCGAAUCUCUGGACAGUUACUGACACUGAGGCACGAAGGCCAGGGGAGCAAAGCGGG
rnacentral:rRNA from 1 species